rnacentral:lncRNA from 1 species
UUGAAUCUACGGACUCUAUUAUUUAUUUAAUUGUCUAUUAAUUAAAUAAUAGAUCUGCCAUUUAAUUGCAUUAAUUAAUUAUAUAUAAAAGUAUUUAUGUCCAAAGUCGAUUGGACCUAGGGCAUAAUACUUACACAUGGGAUUGUGAUUGAGAUUAAGAAGUUGCCAUUUCUUCGGAUCCCUUUCGUCUUUUCCUUUUUGUUCUUCCUUUCCUUGCUUCAUACCAUGGUAAAGGGAGCACACCAACUCCUCCAGUUUCAAGCCACAACUCUUAACCAUUGAUGGGAUGUAUAACAUUUUCGUAUGUUCUCACAUAUGUUUCAACCAAAAACCAAUCCAACACGUAGGCUUGUAUGUCAUGACCUCUAUCCAAGAUGCAAGUGAUCGCAUGUGGACAUGGUAUCCUAGAAAUCUACCAUCUUCUAUACGUGCAAGUUCAAUUCUCCAUGUCAACUAAAAAUUCUCCAUACGAACACUCAACUUGAUAUUGAUGAACCCCAUCCCAUCGCAAUAUGCAUUCACGGGCUGCAUCACUGAACUUAUCUUCUUUUUUUUUUUUUUUUUUUUUUUUUUGAGACAUAUGGGCUUGUUAUAUUUUUUUUAGCUUAUCCCGCCUCAUCUAGAUUCAGUGCAUCAAUUUGUUUUGAAUCCCAAUCAACAUUGUGAGUAUGGAUUUCUCUCUUUCUUCCAAAACGAAGUUGUUGAAGACCUCACAUAGUUUAUUAAGAAUAAACCUAUCUCAAGUUCAGGAUUUUGCUUUCCAGUUGCAGGAGAAAAUUCAAGGAAACUAAGUUUACCAAUGUUUUCCUCCCCAUCUAAACUACUACCAAUUUUCAGCUCUUCAAAGGAUGCAUUCGAUGAGCUAUCGUAUUCUGGGGCUACUUCAUUAUGCAGAGUAUUACGCAUACCAAUUUCUAUCCCUUCACUCACAUUACGUUCAAACAACAUAUCAUCCUCCUCAUACACAUCGUGGUUAAAGUUAUUGAAGUCCAAAUCGUCAUCUACCUCAUCGACUGGAAAUGUAAGAACAACAAGGUUAAUAAAGAGAGACGAGUAUAUGAAGUAUUUGUACAAAAUGCAACAAAAACAAACAAGAAAAAAAUUAUUUCAGCCAUGGUGAACAAUUUUUCCCUGUCGAUUGUUGGUUGCCGUCAGCCAUGGUUGUUUCAAAACGCCCUCGCCAUGAGUCUUUCUUUCCUUGAAGACAAUAGUUUUGAAGUUUUAAACUUCAGCUGGAGUUCGACUUAGGCUACAUAGCUUUGAUCGAACGAGUGUUAGACGGGCGAUGCUCGAUUUUCCUUGUGCCUACGUUCGGGAACUGAGUUAAAGGUAUUUUGGGGCUAUGUUCAACUCGAAUCGUGGCGUGGGUAGCUAGAAUUCGGUAUUGGUUGCUGGGAUUUAGGGUUUUGUGGUGGUGGUGGAGAGCUCUUGGUGAAUUUGGGGUAGGAGAUGGGUUUU